rnacentral:rRNA from 1 species
GGGUGAGUAACACGUUAGUAACCUGCCCUUGACUUUGGGAUAACUUCAGGAAACUGGGGCUAAUACCGGAUAGGAGCUCCUGCUGCAUGGUGGGGGUUGGAAAGUUUCGGCGGUUGGGGAUGGACUCGCGGCUUAUCAGCUUGUUGGUGGGGUAGUGGCUUACCAAGGCUUUGACGGGUAGCCGGCCUAAGAGGGUGACCGGCCACAUUGGGACUGAGAUACGGCCCAG